rnacentral:rRNA from 1 species
GAUGAACGCUGGCGGCGUGCCUAAUACAUGCAAGUCGAGCGAACGGACGAGAAGCUUGCUUUUCUGAUGUUAGCGGCGGACGGGUGAGUAACACGUGGAUAACCUACCUAUAAGACUGGGAUAACUUCGGGAAACCGGAGCUAAUACCGGAUAAUAUUUUGAACCGCAUGGUUCAAAAGUGAAAGACGGUCUUGCUGUCACUUAUAGAUGGAUCCGCGCUGCAUUAGCUAGUUGGUAAGGUAACGGCUUACCAAGGCAACGAUGCAUAGCCGACAUGAGAGGGAGGUCGGCUACACUGGAACAGGAACACGAUGCAGAGUCCUACGGUAGGCAACAGUGUGGAAUCUUCCGCAAUGGGCGAAAGCCUGACGGAGCAACGCCGCGUGAGUGAUGAAGGUCUUCGGAUCGUAAAACUCUGUUAUUAGGGAAGAACAUAUGUGUAAGUAACUGUGCACAUCUUGACGGUACCUAAUCAGAAAGCCACGGCUAACUACGUG